CUGGACCCAACCAACAUGGACCCCAAACGCCUAGGUAUUUUUUCUAAGCCAAUUUUUUAUUCUUUUUUUAACGCGAUUGAACACUAAUGUUUUACUAUUUCUUCAGGCCGAGUGUUGGGAUACGAGGUAGGCUACACUAGCGCAAAUCAAAAUUUCUACCGUGUAUAACCAGGAAGAACUGCCGUAUAAGGAUCACGGGAUUACCACUUGACGCACUACUGGUGCGGAAG
rnacentral:lncRNA from 1 species